rnacentral:lncRNA from 1 species
AUUAAUUUAGUUUGAUUUCAUUUAUAAUUCUUCUUGAUUUAAUUUUACGUAUCGAGAUCAAACUGAAGAAACUGUUAAAAUCGGAACGGCGAAAAAUAGAUCCAGAAAAUAAUUUAAUGCAGGAAACGAAAAGAUAAGAGGAAAGAGCACACCGAUAUUUUCGUCGUUCGGCCAACAGCCUACGUCCACGGGCGAAGACGGAGCAAAUAAUUUAUUAAUGUCGAAAAGACGGAGUACAAAGAAGAUCUCUCAAAAGACCCGAAACUCUAAUCAGAUCAAAAACGCCGUAAUAAGCAACUCCGAAAAA